rnacentral:tRNA from 1 species
CAGAGGUUAGUUUUAUUUAAAAUAUCGGUUUUGGGGACCGAUGAUGGAAGCUUUUCCACCUCUGA